GCGCUGCUGACGAGUCUCAAACAGGACGAAACAGCUGUCCAGUGC
rfam:Echinostoma caproni strain Egypt genome assembly, scaffold: ECPE_scaffold0019528